UACGAAGGGGGCUAGCGUUGUUCGGAAUCACUGGGCGUAAAGGGCGCGUAGGCGGCCGAUCAAGUCGGGGGUGAAAGCCUGUGGCUUAACCACAGAAUGGCCUUCGAUACUGUUUGGCUUGAGACCGGAAGAGGUUAGUGGAACUGCGAGUGUAGAGGUGAAAUUCGUAGAUAUUCGCAAGAACACCAGUGGCGAAGGCGGCUCACUGGCCCGGUACUGACGCUGAGGUGCGAAAGCGUGGGGAGCAAACAGG
rnacentral:rRNA from 1 species